rfam:Clostridia bacterium BRH_c25 BRHa_1000892, whole genome shotgun sequence.
UCUGGUGGCAAUGACGGAGAGGUCACACCUGUUCCCAUCCCGAACACAGAAGUUAAGCUCUCCAGUGUCGAUGGUACUUGGACCGAAGGGUCCUGGGAGAGUAGAUCGCCGCCGGGU